rnacentral:rRNA from 1 species
GACGAACGCUGGCGGCGUGCUUAACACAUGCGAGUCGAACGGAAAGGCCCUGCUUUUGUGGGGUGCUCGAGUGGCGAACGGGUGAGUAACACGUGAGUAACCUGCCCUUGACUUUGGGAUAACUUCAGGAAACUGGGGCUAAUACCGGAUAGGAGCUCCUGCUGCAUGGUGGGGGUUGGAAAGUUUCGGCGGUUGGGGAUGGACUCGCGGCUUAUCAGCUUGUUGGUGGGGUAGUGGCUUACCAAGGCUUUGACGGGUAGCCGGCCUGAGAGGGUGACCGGCCACAUUGGGACUGAGAUACGGCCCAGACUCCUACGGGAGGCAGCAGUGGGGAAUAUUGCACAAUGGGCGGAGGCCUGAUGCAGCAACGCCGCGUGCGGGAUGACGGCCUUCGGGUUGUAAACCGCUUUCGCCUGUGACGAAGCGUGAGUGACGGUAAUGGGUAAAGAAGCACCGGCUAACUACGUG